ACCAUAUGAACAACUUUUAUGUUAAUAAAAAAUCCAUUUGAAACUUGUAAGGUCAUAAUUAAUUUCAAAACAUUAUAGGUCAUUUUGACUGAAACCCUAAUUUUGGGUCAACUUCCCAAGGACAUAACUUCUUCAUUUUUUAUGAUUUUGAGGUGAUACCAAUUGAAUUGGAAAUCUUAAGAUGUAUAAUUCAAAUGUUAUGUUGGAAAAAAUUUCAUAAUCCUAAAAGAAACACAUGUGAUAAUACAAAACAUUAU
rnacentral:lncRNA from 1 species